UACGGAGGGUGCGAGCGUUGUCCGGAAUCAUUGGGCGUAAAGGGCGCGUAGGUGGCGGCUUAAGCGUGCGGUGAAAGCUCGGGGCUCAACCCCGAGUCGGCCGUGCGAACUGAGUCGCUUGAGCACUGUAGAGGCAGGCGGAAUUCCGGGUGUAGCGGUGGAAUGCGUAGAGAUCCGGAAGAACACCGGUGGCGAAGGCGGCCUGCUGGGCAGUAGCUGACACUGAGGCGCGCACGUGGGGAGCAAACAG
rnacentral:rRNA from 1 species